AAGUUCUUUAUCAAAAAUGUUAAAAGGCAUUACUGUUCACCAUUUAUGACAUUAUUUAAACUUGUAAAAAGACAAAACAGAACAGAAAAGCAUUCACUGGUCGUUAGCUGUUUUUUAUGAUGAUAUGCCUGAGAGUAGCAUCCUUGGCCAGCAUACGUAGUGCUUUGUUGGUGACUAGAAACCAUGCUACUCCAAGACGGUCAAAAACCAGCAACAGACAAGUGUGUGUUUUCCACAGCCUUAUCAGCAAGGUCUUGCUGGUCUCUUAGCAUAAAUCACUAUAACAUUAGAAUCACUGAGUUAAAACCAACAAAAGACCAACACAGUGGAGCAAACAGCAAAAGGACUUAAACCAGCAACAAGCUUGUCUUUUUUUCAAUGAGGCAUUCUUUGAAAAUGGUGAUUAAAAAUGUCAUCUUUUCUAUUACGUUAUAUGUGAUACUGCAGCUGAAUCUGUGGAACAGCUUAACCAAAACGCAAUGGCAGUAACCAGGUUUUCAUAGGAAAAUCCAGAAUCUGUCAUUGCCCCACUGCACAAGGUAAUGUUCAUACAUAGCAUAGAUUGCACAUAUCCUCUCUGGCUGUAGUGUGACUGCAAGUGAAAAUAGAAUACUACUCCUCACAGUCAAGUGUAAUAAAAGCUUUAGCAAGCAGAUGGUCGUUUAAAGUGUAUAUUCCACAGCCAGUGAAGCCACAUUAAUCACAAAUAGAGCUCAGGACAGGGUUGUGGAUUUAAAAAAUAUAUUUGUAGUAAAAACAUUAAUGUUUAAAAGUGCCCCCCUCUGUACCUCACACAUAACACUGAAGCAGCACCAGAAGCAGCUUAAUACACACUUAGCAUGAGUAUUAUCAGACACCAACGUCAGAGGAGGAGGAAGUAGCUCCUCUUCCUCACCUCUGCUCUUCCCUCUCACUCAUCCAAGGACAUCCCUGCUUCGGUAACCUGUAUAGGGAGAAACCCAGUCCUGCACUGCGGGGAAAUCCUGCAAAGUCCUGACACGGUAAGCAGGCGUGCUAGCAAGCCGGCUUAAACCCCACAGGGUCUAGCGUCAGUAGCACCCUCGCACUUGUCUCAAGGUGUCGGCAAGUGAGUUUUACACAUUGCAUGAACACAGCUCUGUACCUCCCGGCCUCUGCCACAGCUCGUGAGUGUGACUACGCACAAGCCAUCACACAUCCAUGCGGAGGGAGUGAUGGGGGUUCAGGGACAGUGACGUGAAACCCCGCUGCUUCUGCGGCCGCCUGGCGUUAUGGCCCUCGCUGUGUGAGCGCCCCAUAAAGAUGGUGUUGUAGCCUUCGGUGCUUAAGCCCACAGACGGCAUCAUGUAAGGAAGGAGGUCCGGUACCAUGACUUGCUCCACCAGAAACACGACAGGCUCCACGGCCAAUAGGAGGGCCCAGCCAACAGCCCCCAGCCAAUAGGAGGAGCCCAGACGGGAGAUGUCCUCUUGGAUCUCUGCCAGAUGCUG
ensembl:lncRNA